rnacentral:rRNA from 1 species
GAGAGAAGCUUGCUUCUCUUGAGAGCGGCGGACGGGUGAGUAAUGCCUAGGAAUCUGCCUGGUAGUGGGGGAUAACGUUCGGAAACGGACGCUAAUACCGCAUACGUCCUACGGGAGAAAGCAGGGGACCUUCGGGCCUUGCGCUAUCAGAUGAGCCUAGGUCGGAUUAGCUAGUUGGUGAGGUAAUGGCUCACCAAGGCGACGAUCCGUAACUGGUCUGAGAGGAUGAUCAGUCACACUGGAACUGAGACACGGUCCAGACUCCUACGGGAGGCAGCAGUGGGGAAUAUUGGACAAUGGGCGAAAGCCUGAUCCAGCCAUGCCGCGUGUGUGAAGAAGGUCUUCGGAUUGUAAAGCACUUUAAGUUGGGAGGAAGGGCAGUUACCUAAUACGUGGUUGUUUUGACGUUACCGACAGAAUAAGCACCGGCUAACUCUGUGCCAGCAGCCGCGGUAAUACAGAGGGUGCAAGCGUUAAUCGGAAUUACUGGGCGUAAAGCGCGCGUAGGUGGUUUGUUAAGUUGGAUGUGAAAUCCCCGGGCUCAACCUGGGAACUGCAUUCAAAACUGACUAACUAGAGUAUGGUAGAGGGUGGUGGAAUUUCCUGUGUAGCGGUGAAAU